GCGGGUGUAACUCAAUGGCAGAGCAGAAGCCUUCCAGGUUUAGGACGAGGAUUCGCUUCCUUCGCCCACUCCA
rnacentral:tRNA from 1 species